rnacentral:piRNA from 1 species
UGGAAUCUGUACGUUACCACGCGGCUGUGGU